GUGUAAUACUGCCCGCGUACUUUAUGCCAGUCGCUGCGUGCGUGCCGUGCCGUGGUGCGUGGUGUGUGUUGUGUGUGUGUGUGUGUGUGUGUGUGUGUGUGUGUGUACGUGCGUGCGUGCGUGCGUGCGUGCGUUAUGAAACUCCUGGUGUGAACACAUCAGUGACAGUGAAAAUACUGCCAACGCACUGUGAUCGCGAUUUUCCAUUCCACAUAUCGCCCCCCAUUAAAUCUCAAAUAACGCACGAAACGGGCAUUUGCCCGCGUAAAUUCAUCAACAUAAUGGGAUAAUGUAAGUUACGUAUAUCCGGAAGGUUGAAUUGUAUUUAUUUGAUCUCGGUUGUUCCGACAAGUUUGCUUAGAAAUAAUUUAUGUGCGGUGUUUGAAUGGCGUGUAUACACUGUAUAGUAUGCGUGCGCGAUCAGUGAGUUUUCGCAGUAGGCGCGUUCUGUGUUUGUAGUUAGACGUUUAGGCGGGAAUGACUGUUCUAGGUUGUCGACGAUAUCAGAACGAGUUACACAUGUGUCAUCUUUUUUCAUUUAGGAGAGAAAAGAAGAACCUAAUAAAUGCUUUCAUCUGAAAAA